UACGUAGGUGGCAAGCGUUGUCCGGAAUUAUUGGGCGUAAAGCGCGCGCAGGUGGUUUCUUAAGUCUGAUGUGAAAGCCCACGGCUCAACCGUGGAGGGUCAUUGGAAACUGGGGAACUUGAGUGCAGAAGAGGAAAGUGGAAUUCCAAGUGUAGCGGUGAAAUGCGUAGAGAUUUGGAGGAACACCAGUGGCGAAGGCGGCCUGCUGGGCUGUUGCUGACGCUGAGGCGCGACAGCGUGGGGAGCAAACAGG
rnacentral:rRNA from 1 species